rnacentral:rRNA from 1 species
AGUGGCGGACGGGUGAGUAACACGUAAGAAUUUGCCUUUAGGAGGGGGACAACAGAGGGAAACAGCUGCUAAUACCCCAUAUGCUUUCGAGUGAAAUGGAUUUUUCCGCCUAGAGAGAAGCUUGCGGCUGAUUAGCUUGUUGGUAAGGUAAUGGCUUACCAAGGCGACGAUCAGUAUCUGGUUUGAGAGGACGAUCAGACACACUGGAACUGAGACACGGUCCAGACUCCUACGGGAGGCAGCAGUGGGGAAUUUUCCGCAAUGGGCGAAAGCCUGACGGAGCAAUCUCGCGUGAGGGAUGACUGCCUAUGGGUUGUAAACCUCUUUUUUCAGGGAGGAAUCAAUGACGUGUACCUGAAGAAUAAGCAUCGGCUAACUCCGUGCCAGCAGCCGCGGUAAGACGGAGGAUGCAAGUGUUAUCCGGAAUCACUGGGCGUAAAGCGUCUGUAGGUGGUUUAAUAAGUCAACUGUUAAAUCUUGAAGCUCAACUUCAAAAUCGCAGUCGAAACUAUUAGACUAGAGUAUAGUAGGGGUAAAGGGAAUUUCCAGUGGAGCGGUGAAAUGCGUAGAGAUUGGAAAGAACACCGAUGGCGAAGGCACUUUACUGGGCUAUUACUGACACUCAGAGACGAAAGCUAGGGUAGCAAAUGGGAUUAGAUACCCCAGUAGUCCUAGCCGUAAACAAUGGAUACUAGAUGUU